GCCAGGUGUGGUGGCUCACACUUGUAAUCCGAGCACUUUGGGAGGCUGAGGCGGGUGGAUCACCUGAGGUCAGGAGUUCAAGACCAGCCUGACCAACAUGGUGAAACCCCGUCUCUA
ensembl:misc_RNA Metazoa_SRP Metazoan signal recognition particle RNA